rnacentral:rRNA from 1 species
AAGGAUCAUUACUGAGAGAGGGGCUUCGCGCUCCCGGGGGUCUCGGCCCCCAACUCUUCACCCAUUGUGUACACUACCUUUGUUGCUUUGGCGGGCCCCGAGGACUUCUCGCGCUGCCUACAGGGCGGCGAGCGCCCGCCAGAGGCCCAUCAAAAUCUGUUUAUCAAUGGUGUCCGAGCGAAAACACAAUAAUCAAAACUUUCAACAACGGAUCUCUUGGUUCCAGCAUCGAUGAAGAACGCAGCGAAAUGCGAUAACUAAUGUGAAUUGCAGAAUUCAGUGAAUCAUCGAGUCUUUGAACGCACAUUGCGCCCCUCGGUAUUCCGGGGGGCAUGCCUGUUCGAGCGUCAUUAUACCCCUCAAGCGUAGCUUGGUAUUGGGCCUCGCCCCCGUGGCGUGCCCGAAAAGCAGUGGCGGUCCGGGGCGACUUUAAGCGUAGUAAAAUCAUCCCGCUUCGAAAGUCCGCCUCGCGACCGGCCAGACAACCCC